UGAAAUUCAAGGAUCAUGUAGAGAAAAUGGGACUUGGUUCCACUUUGUAAUGAUAUUGAAACUCUUAUAUAUAUUGUGAAAUUUUCUCAUUCAUGCGCAUAUUAUUUUGAGAAAAUAUAUUGUUGCUGGACCAAGAAUAAACAUAAGGUUUAUUCAUUAAGUAAUAUUACCAUAUUAAGAUUAAGAAACUAAAUACAUCGUGAUACAUAGAUGAUAAUACUCGCUUUUAGAGGACUUAUCGCUAUGAUUCGUGUAUUUAUUUCUUAAGAAAGUUGUUCAAGAAAAAUUAAUUCAAAUUAUUAAGAUAGACGUAUGGACCAAGUGGGAGAAUGUAACCGUUAUUAUUAAAUAUCUAAUUUAAUAAUAAUAUAACUGUUAUCACUAAGAUUCAUAAUUGAUUAUCAUGAAUUUCUUCAUUAAUUAUGGUUUAAAUGAUUUCAGUUUUUUAUUCUUUAAACAUGAAACCGUUAUUAUUAAAUUAAAUAUUUAAUAUUAUUAAAGUUCUUCAUUAUGGUCCAAACGUUACAAAUUUGAAUUAAUUCUUGAACGUUAUGAUUUGGUGAUGAUAAAUGUUCUUGAUGGGAGAACAUCUAUAUAUACAUGAGGAUUUUGGUCCCUUGGCUCAAUCAUCUCUUUGAAGCGAAAGGCUUUCCUACACCAUCUAAAGUGAGAGUUCUGAGCCGAGAAGAACCAAAGUUCAAGAAGAAACCUCUGCAGAAAUUCUUGGCGACAAUGGUUGGAGGUACGCUAUUUCGUUUCCGCAUUAGUUUAUUGUGUUUCUAUUACAAUGAUUUAGAAACACAAGUUGGCUUCAUCAAAAUUUCUUACA
rnacentral:lncRNA from 1 species